GGCUUCGUGGCGCAAUGGUAGCGCGUUACUUUCCGGUUCAGUAUCACUGAUGGUAAAGGUUCUGGGUUCGAGCCCCAGCGAGGUCG